AUUUCGUGGUGGAUUGUAUGUUCUCCAUCUCAGUGUGACUGUGAGAGACGAUGGAGAUUCUUCUGGCAUGAAGUUCAUGGCUACAGUUCCCAUCAUUUCUGCUGCUGCUUCACUCAUCAGUGUGGCUGUGAUAACCUGUGGUUACAGCCUGAGGAGAAAUCCUCGCAGAGAAAACAGAUCAGGUCUAACUAACUUAACAGGAUCUGAAACUCGCCAGAUGUUUGACAAAGAGGACCGCUACAUGAGCCUUCAUCGGCAAAACAUCGAUGUCUACCAAACUAUCUCCUCCGGUCGCCUUCAUCAUGAUGCUGAGGCCGCUGCAUGUCACAGUCAUGUACAAUAAUAAUCAGAGAUGGAGUUUUUACCCUGACUACGUGAUCUAUAAAACUAUGAUGCUAGACAUGCUAU